AACGAACGCUGGCGGCAGGCUUAACACAUGCAAGUCGAGCGCCCCGCAAGGGGAGCGGCAGACGGGUGAGUAACGCGUGGGAAUCUACCCAUCUCUACGGAAUAACGCAUGGAAACGUGUGCUAAUACCGUAUACGUCCUUCGGGAGAAAGAUUUAUCGGAGAUGGAUGAGCCCGCAUUGGAUUAGCUAGUUGGUGGGGUAAAGGCCUACCAAGGCGACGGUCCAUAGCUGGUCUGAGAGGAUGAUCAGCCACACUGGGACUGAGACACAGCCCAGACUCCUACGGGAGGCAGCAGUAGGGAAUAUUGGACAAUGGGCGCAAGCCUGAUCCAGCCAUGCCGCGUGAGUGAUGAAGGCCCUAGGGUUGUAAAGCUCUUUCACCGGUGAAGAUAAUGACGGUAACCGGAGAAGAAGCCCCGGCUAACUUCGUGCCAGCCGCCGCCGUAACAC
rnacentral:rRNA from 1 species